rnacentral:lncRNA from 1 species
CAAGAAAGUCAAAAAUACUUCCCAUCAUGGAUUUACGAUCGAUACUAUCAUGGAGAAGAUGUAGAUUUGGGAGAUGUUACGGAUGACGAAAAGAUUAUCGUGAAGAAGAUGGUGAUAAUAGCUUCUUGGUGUGUACAAGUAAAACCUAAUGAUCGUCCUUCGAUGAGCAAAGUCUUGGAGAUGUUCGAAACGGAUGUCGACCUCCUCCAAAUGCCUCCAAAACCUUUUCAACUUCCCUUUGAAGUAGCAACGGCUACUCAAUCCUAUGCUUCAACCAAAGAUCAACCCCAUGAUAGUUCAACUGAUGAGACAUCUUAUUUACUCUAUUCUUCAAAUGAAAUUACCGUAAGUAUAUUGUAAGCUACCUUUUCAUAUAUGAUUCAUUGACCAUGGUUGGUUUAAUUUGGUUUUUUUAUUUUUAUUUUUUCUUAUAUUUCGAGCUCUGAUAUACUUUAUGAUAUGUUUGUAUAUUAUAAUCGUGUUUAAAAUGUUAUAUAUUUAUAAAAAAAAUUGCUGUAUUAAUAAUUAGAAAAUCUUAUUUUAAGUAAUGUUUUUUGGAAAAAUAAAAAUAAAAAUUUUCAUUUUAAAUAAUAUAAAACUUAUAAAUUUAUAUUAUAUUAAUUAAUUAUUAUAUUUUAUAAAAUCUAGUCAACAUAAUAAUAAUUUUUUAAUAUAUAUAAAAUAAACGAUAUAACUUUUUUGGAUUUUUAAUUAAUUAUUUAAAAAACAUAAAUUAUUUUGCUUUCGUUGACCCAUGAUAAUGUUUCAUUAGUUGAUUUAAGUUUUUUAACAUAAAAUGUAUAGAUGGAUAAUGGAUAUACAAAAUGAAAGUAUGGUAACCAAAUUAAUAAAAAAACUAAACUGAUAAAAAAUAAUUUAAAUAUCAAAAUAAUAAUUGAACUACAGGAGUCAAAGCCUAUUAAUUAAUUUUAGGGUAAAUUCCAUAGUUAGUUAUUAAACUAUAAAUAAAUUUUUGUUUUGUUCACUUACAAUUUAGUCAUUGAAUUAUUUAAUUUUUUCGUUUAAGUCACUGGACUAUUAAAAUCGAUGUUAUAUGAUUUUUCUGUUUGCUCUUUUUUCAUAGCUAGGUUUGGGUAUCAUGAAUCCGUGAAUCAAAAAUUCAAAUAGCUUAUUUCUCUGAUCUCUGACGUUGACCGUCAGAUUAACUUGGAUCUAAGGUAUAUCUUUUUACUCGUCGCUGGCUAUCGACCCACCAUAUUGACUAUGGAAUUGUUACUUAAAACUCACUGGUAGGACUUUUUUAUAUACAAAAAAAUAUUAAGAACCAAAUCACUUAAAUAAAAUUUUUUAAAUAAUUUAUUGACCAAAUUAUAACUUUUAUAAUUAAAUUAGGAAAACCAAAACUUACUCAUAAUUUAUUCACUAAUAAAGUUGAUUAGCUUCACGCGUGGACUUUCACAAAUAUUAAUAAUAGUUUGAAACCUUGGCAUACUCACUCCAAACCAUAUAAAACCAAUCAAAAAUAGAUAUAUUUUGUUAACAAAAUUCUAUCACAUUUUUUCACAAUGCUGAAACUAGAAUUACCUCCAUUAUCAAGCCUCAUCCUCAUCUUCCUUCUGUUUCUAUGUCCCCAAUCUUCCAUCUCCAGGACCCUGACCAAGCGCUGCGGCGUUACUCAGUGUGGAAACGUUAACAUCAGCCACCCUUUUCGCUUAAAAACUCAGCCGCCGGAGUGCGGCGACCGCCGCUUCGAACUCGACUGCGAAGCCGAUAUCAACCAACUCACGUUCUUCAGGCGAUAUAAUAAAUUCCAAGUCCAUGAAAUCUUCUAUGAAAAUUCAACACUUACAGUUUCGUAUCAAAAUCAGGUCACCGGUAAUUGCUCUCUUCCACCGACCGGUCGAUUCUACGAAGAUUUUUUCUUUUGUGAGAAGCUUCUCUUCCCGGCAUGGCUCAUUGACGAUGAAUCGUCGCCAGGUGUAAUUGAAGCACAACACAGCUUGAAGGAGUCAAAUGUGCCCCUUUUUCAUAGACUACCAUCAAAUCUUCUCAAUUCUAUUCAAUUACCAAGUAAGGCAUUCUGGGCCACUGGUGGUCGCCCUCCGUUCUUGCUAACAAUCUCCAUUAAUUACCACUACUUGGAGAAUUCAGUUCAGCUUCAUCUUCAAGCCUCAACUAUAGCCAAGAGAAUGAUAAACAAAAAACUUGAUUUAUAACUAGGAAAUCUGGGUUUGUUGAGCAACAUUUUCCGAGUUUUGUUUCAUCUUCGCUAAAUGGCUGAGAAAAGGCUCAUCUGCCAUCUCAGAAAACAAAAAAGGAAAAGAAGCAAGAGAAGAGAAAGAACAGAAAAAAAAAAAAAAAGCAAAGUGUUUUUAACUAAUUACAAAGAUGUUAAAUGUCAGUCACUUAAUGGGCUAACGUGUCAUAUCAGCAAUUCGUUAGUAAUUAAUAAAAUUUGUAAUAGUAGUUACUAAUUCGAACAAUUAUCUUAAUUAAAAUGACUAAAUUAAAAAAAAAUAGAAUGACCUAAAUAGAAUUAGAGUAACUAGUUUAUUUUUUUAUAAUUUCAUAUUCAUUUCAAUAUCGAUUAUUUCAUUGCCGUUAUGUUUUUAAUUUAGUUUUGCUAUUGUGUUAUUUUUGUUUUCUUUUAAACUUCUUUAAACUAAAAACAAAGAAAAACAACAUUGUUAUUUUGUCAUAUUUAAAAUUUUUUGAACUAAAAGAACAUGUAUAAAUUUUUGUUAAUUCAAUUGAUUAAUUGAAAUUAAUUCGGUUCGAUUAAUGAGUUUCAAAAAAAUUCAAUUUGGUUAAUAAUUAAAAGAUUUAAAAUUUCGGUUAAUUUGAUUAACGAUAGUUUUGUUCAAGUAUUAAUCGAAUUGACCAUUUGAAUACUCCUACCAAAUACUCGCUCAACCCAAAUACAAAAAAUAUUGUUGAAAUUUGUUGAGGGUUAGUGCUUGCCUUGGAGUGUCUCAUACGCACAAUAGACGGUAUUGUCUUUGUAGGGAUUUUGUCUUCCAUGCUCUAAGGAGAGCCUAAAGGGGUUAACGGAGUUUAAGAAGCACCUCGAUUGGUAGAGAUAUGACUUACAAGUUCAUAAAAAAGGUGUCAAUAUUGUGCAAAAUAUUAAUUAUGCACAUUGCACCUAUGGGGUUUUGAACCACCAACCAAGGCACAUAGGCCUUACCUUUGCAUCUAUGGUAUGAUAUAAUAAUACAAUUACAUAAUUUUAAAUUUAAAAAAAUAUCAAUUAUUAUAAAAAAUUUAUCAAUAAUCCUUGAAAAAAAUUCUCUAAGCAAGUAACAAAUUUUAAAAUUAAAUUAUAGUAUGUAUAUGUUCGUCUAAAGAAGUACUCCACAAUACAAUUACUAAUAAAAUUAACAAGAAAAAUAAACAUUCGAUGCAAUUUUUCUAAAUAUUAUUGCAUCCUAUUUUUGUGUUAUUCCCUUUUUAAUAUUAAACACAUACUCUUUAUUAUAAUUAGUUGAUCAUUGGUCAAUCAUAAAUGCAUGAAAACUAUCUCUCUCACCGCUAAAAAUUUUAAAAUAUUCAAACAAGAUUAAUAAAGAAAACAUAUAAUUAUAUUUUUAAAAAUAAAUAUAUGAUCUAAAUUUAAUUAUUAUUGUAUAAAAAAUAUUUUUAAACAUAAAUAACAUAAGAUGUAUUUACAAAAGCUAUAAAAUAAUUAUAUUUGAGUGUAAUUGUUUGUAAUUAUUCUUCUAAUUACUUUAAUUUUAAUUAAAAUUCUUCGAUUACAUUCAAUCCAAUGAGACAACUAAUAAUAAUUACUAAAAAUUUGAUAUAUAUAUAUAUAUAUAAUUAUAAAUAAUUACAACAAUUUGCAAUUACUAAAUGAUUCUCUAAACAUACAGUUUCUUAAUUUGAAUUUGAUAUUGUGAACUAGAAAUUUGUUAUUAAAACUUUUUAAAAAAUAGGGUAAAUGAUCAAAAUAGUUAUUUAUGUUUCCCUUAAGUUGUAUUUUAGUCACUUAUGUUUGAAAUAUUACGUAUUAGUCAUUUGCGUUAACAUGCUGUAACAUUUUAGCCACUGAUCCGUUAAUUGCCAUUAGUGGUGUAACGGUAAACUGACAUGGCACGUUAAACAAAAAAUUUAGGUUAAAUCAAACAAUCGGUCCCUAUAUCAUUUUAAGCAAUUUAUUUUUUUCUUUUAUAUUCUUUUAACUUUCCUUCUCUUUUCCUUUUUUUUUCCAUUCUCUUUUACUUCUCCGGUUCUCCCUCUAUUUUCCUCCAUUCUCCAUCUCUUUUAACGUAAAAGAAAAAAAAAUUGCUCAAAAUAAAAAAAUAUAGGGACCAAUUCUAUAAUUUAACCUAAAAUUUUCGUUUGAAAUGAUGAUUUAACGUAUCACGUCAGCUUACCGUUACACUGUUAACGAAAGUUAACCUUCAGUGACUAAAAUAUUACAACACGAUAAUAUAAGUGAUUAAAACGUAACAUUUUAAAUAUAAGUGACUUAAAUAUAACUUGAGAGAAACAAAAUUGAUUAUUUUAAUAAUUUACCUACAGAAAUUAUGAAAUAUAACGUGAUUGUUGCUCCCCUAAUCUCUUAAUAAUAAUAUUGGGAUUUGAUCUUCGUCUAUAAAAAUAAAGCUUAUUUAUUUAGAAGAGCACCUACAAAAAUGAAUUAAUCAAUUAUUAUUAUCCACAGUGGAUACCCAAAUUUCCACCGUACACAUCAUUAAGAUUUGAUCCCAUAAUAUAUGAGUACAAGAUGAACGCUAUUUCCCAAUGAUGUCAAAACCGAACAAUUCGUUUUUAUACACUGCAUUAUUUUAAUAUCAACUUGAUAAAAGGUAUCCCCCAUUCAGUUAUGGCAUUUGACUUUCUCUGUUUUCAAGGAUGGCGAUCUGGUUCAAUAUACUGUCAAAAUUUUUUGUUUCUUUCUGUACCUUCCAAUCUCUCCUCAUCCAGAUUCUGCCAUGCCAAAACCCAAACCACAGCUUCCAAUCUAUGCCCUCGUGGCCGCUAUUGUUGUUUUACUUCAAUUCCCGGAACUUUGUGUGGCCAAAACCAGAAACAAAUAUUGCAACUCAACUGUUUGUGGAAAUGUCACAAUCAGCUACCCUUUUCGAUUACCAACCCAACCUCCCAACUGCGGCGAACCUCGAUUGGAACUCGACUGCGACAGCAACAACCGCACCGUUUUAUCCUUAAACCAUGGCAGAUUCUACGUCCAAAAGAUCUGGUACGAAUACUCUACGAUCCGAGCUAUUGACCCAAACCUCGCUGUGGAUGAUUGUUCCCUUCCUCGCGGCUCCUUAUUGUUCUGGGAUAAAAGGCUGUAUCCUUGGGUUUUCCCAUUGAGUUUCAUGUAUGUAGUGAACUGCACAAAGGCGAUUAAAUCAUCUUUGUAUAUUGAUGCCUCGCGUUGCCCCGUUAACUCUUCCGGUUCCGAUCCGCCACCAGAUUCAUACGUUUAUUUUCUGGGUGAACGAACUUCGCCUCGAGAUUUCGAUGAGUCUUGCAGAAUCGAAGCUACGGUUCCUGUUAUGGUUCAGAAUAUAAGUGGCUUCUCUACUUCGGACAUCUACGAGAAGCUGUUAAAGCCGGGGUUCGAAUUGUCUUGGAGCUUCGGUUCCAAGUCGCAGCAGGCCAGUCCUAUCCAUGCCUUGUAAGUUCAAUAUAAAAAAAAAAUUAAUAUUCGUACUUCAUUAUAAUCGUCUGGUUAUAUUCUUUGUAAAUUUAAUAUACUUUUACUUUUAGUAAUCUUUAUUUUUCAGAUUUUAAAAUUUAAGUUCAAUUAUUAAAAUUAUUUUGUUAUAGGGCGAAACCGGAAACUUUUUUUAAGGGAGUCGAAAUUAAUUGUAAUUUUUUACGAUAAUAAAAAUAUAAUUUCUUCAUUUUAAUAGAUUAUAUCUUUAUAAUUUUUAAAUGUCUAAAUCAAAUUUUUAUUAUUUUUAGGGGGUCAAAAUGUAAUUUUACUUUUAUUAAUUUAAAAUUUUAAAAACUUUAAAGGGCUAAAAUGAAAUUUUUUUCAUUCUAGAGGAGCCAAGGGUCUGCCCUCUCCCUAGGUACGUCCUGAUUAUAACAUCAUUUUUUAAUUAUAUUAUUACGAAAUGAAUAUUUUUUAUUUUAAAAUAUUACACUGAUAAAUUUUAUAAUAUUAACAAUUAAACUUGAAAUUAAAAAAAAAAAAGAUAGUAUGAAGUUUUUGAAAAAAAUAUAAAGAUUAAAUUUUAAAUUUGUGAAUAGUAACCAGAAAAGAGAAAGAUGUAUAGUUUUUAUUGUUUUUUAUAAAUAUAUAUUUACCAUUUUAAUUUAAAAUGAGGUAUAUUUUCUCUUAAUUAUUUACAAAUAUUUUUCAGGUUAGGAGACUUGGAAUAUGCCUUGCAAAGUUACAUUGACAGCUUCAUCCAUUACUUAUUCAAAGGCCACCAUAUUGCCCAUGAUUCAUAUUAUGCACCUAAAAGUAUGGUUAAUUUCCAAAACUUCCUUAUUAUUUGUAAUUUUUUUUCCUUUUUUUUCCCUUAUAUUCAAUUAAUUAUUUUUUCUUACUUUUAUUGUUUUUUUAGGUACUUAUAUUUUAUGUCUUCAAAUAACAGGUAAGCUUUAAAUUUUAGCUAAAAUGAAUAUUUAAAGAGUUUAUUAGAUAUUUAAAAAAAAUACUAAUAUGUUGAAACUUAAUUUUCUUUUUAAAGGAGGAUUUAUCUUAGCAAGGACUUUGCCCGGGAUAAUUUGCUUGAUUGGACUUGUUAUUUACAAAUGGAGAAGAAGACAUUUAUGUGCGGAUGAUACGAUCGAAGAGUUUCUUGAACGUCAAAAAGAUUUGAUGCCGAUAAGGUAUUCUUAUCGCGAAAUAGAGAAAAUGAGUAAUGGUUUUAAGGAUAAAUUAGGCGAAGGCGGUUAUGGUUCGGUGUUUAAAGGAAAGCUUCGUAGUGGUUAUUUUGUAGCAAUAAAGUUAUUGGGGAAGGCAAAAGGUAAUGGCCAGGAUUUCAUCAAUGAAGUUGCUACGAUUGGGAGGAUUCAUCAUGUUAAUGUGGCGAAACUUAUUGGAUUUUGUGUUGAGGGAUCAAAACAAGCUCUCGUUUAUGAUUUUAUGCCGAAUGGAUCUCUAGAUCGGAUUAUAUUCGCAAAAGAAAAUAAGGUUGACUUAAGUUGGAAAAAGAUGUUUGAUAUUGCGCUUGGGGUGGCUCGAGGGCUCGACUACUUACAUCAAGGAUGUGACAUGCAGAUUUUACAUUUUGAUAUCAAGCCGCACAAUAUUCUUUUAGACAAGAACUUUACACCAAAAGUUGCAGAUUUCGGUCUUGCUAAACGGUUUUCAGUAGAUGAUAGCAUUGUAUCUCUAACAGCAGCACGAGGUACUAUAGGUUACAUUGCUCCUGAAUUGGUCUACAAAAACCUUGGAGGCGUCUCAUAUAAAGCCGAUGUUUACAGUUUCGGAAUGUUAUUAAUGGAAAUCAUAGGCAGGAGGAAGAAUAUGAAAACAUCUACCGAUCACGAAAGCCAAAAAUACUUCCCGUCAUGGAUUUACGAUCGAUAUUAUCAUGGAGAAGAUGUAGAUUUGGGAGAUGUUACGGAUGACGAAAAGAUUAUCGUGAAGAAGAUGGUGAUAAUAGCUUCUUGGUGUGUACAAGUAAAACCUAACGAUCGUCCUUCGAUGAGCAAAGUCUUGGAGAUGUUCGAAACGGAUGUCGAGCUCCUCCAAAUGCCUCCGAAACCUUUUCAACUUCCCUUUGAAGUAGCAACGGCUACUCAAUCCUAUGCUUCAACCAAAGAUCAACCCCAUGAUAGUUCAACUGAUGAGACAUCUUAUUUACUCUAUUCUUCAAAUGAAAUUACCG